UCCCUGGUGGUCCAGUGGUUAAGACUCUGCCCUUCCACUGCAGAGGACAAGAGUUCGAUCCCUGGUCAGGGAA
rnacentral:tRNA from 1 species